rnacentral:rRNA from 1 species
CCUACGGGAGGCAGCAGUAGGGAAUAUUGCUCAAUGGGGGAAACCCUGAAGCAGCAACGCCGCGUGGGAGAUGAAGGUUUUAGGAUUGUAAACUCCUUUUGUUAGAGGAGAUUAUGACGGUAUCUAACGAAUAAGCACCGGCUAACGCCGUGCCAGCAGCCGCCGUAAUACGGAGGGUGCAAGCGGUACUCGGAAUCACUGGGCGUAAAGAGUGCGUUGGCGGGGUUAUAAGGCAGAUGUGAAAUCCUGUAGCUUAACCAUAGAACUGCAUUUGAAACUGUUACUCUGGAGUGUGGGAGAGGUAUGUGGAAUGCUUGGUGUAGGGGUAAAAUCCGUAGAUAUCAAGAGGAAUACUCAUUGCGAAGGCGACCUGCUGGAACAUUACUGACGCUGAUGCACGAAAGCGUGGGGAGCAAACAGGAUUAGAUACCCUUGUAGUC